GUUAACCCUAAUAUACACCCAAAUUUUCAAUUCCCUCAUCCCUCUGCUCCAUGCCUCAUCUGCAACCACAUAGGUUUACGGAGGAAGAAGAUGUAGAAGUUCUAUCAACUCCGAUACCAGCGACUCCGGCGCAGAAUAGUGCUAAUUCUGAAACCCUUGGUUUAUGUUGGAAGAUGAUGUAGAAGUUCUAUCAAUCUCCAAUACUAGCGACUUCGACGAUGAUUUCACGUGCGAAGAAUAUGAAGACGGAGAUGAUAGCUUUUGGAGAUCUGACAGUGAUGAGUACUGCAACGAAAACGACAUCGCACGACCUUCUAGCUGUUGUGUGUGAGCAAAACUCGCAGAACGUAAUGCUCUUUUGAGGAUAUGCAAGCUUUAAUCAACAAAAUAAACAAAUCAAUAGUCGCUCCACUUCCAACCAGGUAUUCUUGUGCAUUGUUGCCGCUAACUUGAUCCAUUCUUGCUCAUGAUGAGCUGAUGCAUGGUUGGUUAUGUCUUAACGUGAAAGUGAAGAUCAAGCAUAAGAUAGAAUCUGAAAUGAAGUUGAAAGCUUUGAUGUGAAUUUAAGCAAGACGCCUUGUAGUUCUAGUGAAUGCAGGCGCACUUUGAGCUGCUGAAGUUUAAAAGCCAUUGAGUGGAUAAUGUCGUAUCUUGAUGGUCACUAUGUUGUUGGACUGAAUCAAACCACAACAGCACGGUUCCAACAAAGGAUAUUCGUCCAAAGGCGAACAAGUUGCCGGUAGGACCACGCGUGGUGAGAAAUCUGGAUUUUCCAAGAUGCACUUACGAUGAAAAUUUACCAAUCACAAAGAACUUUAACGCAAUAGGAAGUUGAUAAAAAAGUGUUGAAGGCAUGCCAUGCUCUAUUAUUUGAUCAUAGUUUUUGCAGCACUUUCAAGUCAAAAAGCAGUGAGUUCAUAGACAUGAAGAAAACAAUCUAUAAAUAGUUUUAGUUUAUGUGUGUUGUCAUUUCUCUUUUCAACUUUUGUAGAUAGAUUUAUCAUAUGUUUGUUAU